UUAGGAAGAUUUCAUACUUCCUGAGAAUAAAAUGUAUACCGCAAUACCCGAGUUCGAAUCCUGACGAAAUCAUCUAGGCUCUAAUUAGUAUUUUGUAAUAGAUUCUUUAUAAUAGUGAAGUUGAAGGUCACGGUCGGUCAUUACGAUAUUACCGAUCAGCUGUCAAAUGCGAGAUGACGUUUUGUGUACCGACCGGAGGCAAUGCUCAUGUGAUGUGUUAGUUAUGUGCCAUAGUUUCGGAUAUUUUAAGUAAUAGAAAUCUUUAUUAAUUUGCGAUUAGCAAAUAAUGUGUUCUGGAUCGAAUUAUAGAAGGGGUGAGUUGCAUAGUUAUUAAUAGUAGGGGGCCUAACUUUAGCUUUUAUGGUGUUCUUUUUAAAAUGUUGAUUUCUCGAUUGUCGUAGCCUAACGGGAAUGCCCUUCUUGGAGCCUGUUAUUUACAAACCCUGAAUACAGCUAGCCGAGGUCUGGUUUUGGCAGAGUUCCAGCAUAAGAUAGAAAAACUCUCCUGGCGCCUAAAACCUAGGAUAAGAUUUAGCCUAAGUGUUUGUUGUGUGCAAUAAAUUAGAUAAAACGUCUGUGUAGCAUCAUUGAACAUCAUUGGAACCCGUAACAAAAUAGCGCCCAACGUUAAAAACUAAAGGGUUUGCAUUGAUAUUAGCCCAGUUGUAACAUAAUUAAGCGAGUAACAUUAAGUGGACGGCGGUACCCGCGUUCAAAAUAAUAUUAGGUAUACAUCGCAGCGGCGCGCUCAUGCCUUGCAAGAUUACAUACACUUAACGGGAAUUAUUUUAUAAUUAAGAUAGUGUUACACCGGGUUGCGAUUUUUACCCGGCGUUCUUGCAUUGUAAUAGCUACGUUAUAUUGAAGUAAAAUGGACGUACUAUCAUGAAUGUUAUGCAGGGUUGUCACAUUGAACAUAUAGGUAA